UGCUCACUUGGGCAACACAUACAUUAAACUGGAAUGAUACAGAGGAGAUGAACAUGUCCCCUACAUAGGAUGACAUGCAAACUCAUGAAGCAUUCCAUAUUUUU